rnacentral:rRNA from 1 species
CCUACGGGAGGCAGCAGUGAGGAAUAUUGGUCAAUGGGCGCGAGCCUGAACCAGCCACGCAGCGUGAAGGAUGACUGCCCUACGGGUUGUAAACUUCUUUUAUAAAGGAAUAAAGUGCGGCACGUGUGCCUUUUUGUAUGUACUUUAUGAAUAAGGAUCGGCUAACUCCGUGCCAGCAGCCGCGGUAAUACGGAGGGUCCGAGCGUUAUCCGGAUUUAUUGGGUUUAAAGGGAGCGUAGAUGGGUUGUUAAGUCAGUUGUGAAAGUUUGCGGCUCAACCGUAAAAUUGCAAUUGAUACUGGCAGGCUGGAGUACAGUUGAGGUAGGCGGAAUUCGUGGUGUAGCGGUGAAAUGCUUAGAUAUCACGAAGAACUCCGAUUGCGAAGGCAGCUUACUAAACUGCGACUGACAUUGAUGCUCGAAAGUGUGGGUAUCAAACAGGAUUAGAUACCCGGGUAGUC